UUGUCCAGAUAGUUAGGUGAGAUUGAACAGUAGACCAACCCAGUGACACCUUAGUAACUUCAUUGUAUGAUACGGAUGUUGUUCUUAUCAUCAUUCAUGGGUGUUUUUUGAUACUCUAAAUGAAUUUGAUUUAAUCAAGUGAAAGGAAAUUUUCCAAUUUUCCAUUAUUUUAACCCUUAAUGAUUAAAGUAAAUCGAUGCAAAUAAUGGUAAACCAGUGUUAAGACAUUGGACGCUGAUUGUGCAUAUCGAUACUGAUUACACCAGUUCACACAAUUUUCAUGAUAAUUUCUAAUCAAUAACCGUUUUUAUUUUUCCUUUUCCAGUUUCAGUUCCAGGAUAAACAGCAGAACGGUCAUUAACCCAUCACCUAAUCACUGGAAUUUCAGAUUGUUGAAUUGAAAAGUCGAAAAGAUGUGAACUUGUCUCAUACAAAUAAUGUAAAUGAUCCGUUGAACACAUGUAGGUACUGAUGAUAAAUAUGCAAAACCCAGAGCAAGGAUGAUUAUGGUUAAACUAAAGACGACGGAUAAAGACACAAUUAACAUUGGACUGAUUUUUGGAUCAGCUACAGAAGGCCAAAAGGUUAAAUAACAAUCAGACAAUUGUUGGUAUGAUGAGCAGUAGCCAUUCUGUAGCUCCAUUGUGGCUGAGAUCAAUUCCUGGUCAUUGAAAUAAAAUUGAGACUCAUCAUCGGGACACAGAUCAAGAACCAAAUUUUUUAAACACUCAUUUCCCUCCCAAAAUGAGCAGCAAGAUGAUUUAGUCUCUUCUUUAUCGGAUAAUUGGUACCAUUUCUCCAUUGAAUUGUAAACACAAUCAGCAAAGGCUGCCUGAUGGUUGUAUAAACAUUUCCUCAAAUUGUACUUCAACUUUGAAUAGCAAAUGUUGUAUAAAUCUGAAGUAUCGACAUUGGUAGCACCAGAGAAGUCAUUUUCCGCCUUUUCCGGAUCGGAUGCUUGGCAUAUUGAAGAGUUGCUGAUUAAAAUAGUAACUGUCCAAAUUAAUUUGAUAAUAGUUGACCUGGUCGGUGUGUUUAAUGUGGUUAAAGAUGGUAAAUUUAUAUUCAAAAAGAAACACAUGGUUUAGUUUAUGUUGGAUUAACCAAUCUUCAAACAAUCCGUAAUUAUUUACCAAUAAUUAUGUUGAACAAGGCAAGAAAUACCAAUGCAGAUCAAUAAGCAUUAAUAAACACAUGUUGAUCAACCAGACUAUUUAUAAAGAUCCGAUUGAACCAAUGAAUGAACAUGAACAUGGAACAAAAAAACGCCUUCCUAAUUUAGGAAUAGUUUAUUCAGUGAAAAAUAGUUUUAUAAAUCAAAUGAAGAUAUCAAGCCCAACACGAAGCUAAUACAUAAAAAUCUACAUAAAAAGUUAUGAAAGCUGAGCUUAUCUUGAUUGGAUUCAAUGUUGGAAAAUUUAUGCAAAUUUCACCAAAAAUUUUUCAUAGUUUUUCAAGUUAAACAUGGAAAAAUGGAUUGAAUUGAGAUUACAAAUUCAUUAUGGAUCAGUCAAUUGAAACAUUAUGGAUAAGAAGCAAAACCAAAUAUACCUGUUGAUGGAUAUCAGUAAAGCAAGCUUUGGGACUAAGAGAGACUCAUUGAAUUAAUUUUUUCAAUAACUUAUUCUUGAUGGUUUAAGUUCAACAUGGCCUGACAUUUUUACAAUCUUGAUUAUCUUUGAACUUGAACCAGAUUAAUCUUGAAGCUUUUCAUUAAAUCGUCAUCUCAUUCAGCUCGAGACUAUAAAUAAAGCAUAAAGGCUCUUAAUUGUAACAUUGAUGUCCAUAGUUAAACCUUGACAUAUUUAACAACAUUGAAUAUGAUCUGAAAAUAAAAUUGCAAGACCUUUUGACAUUAUCAAGUGCAAAUGAGUUUUAACGCAAACUCACCAGCUUUUAACUCCCAGACAUUUUUCCAACUGAUAACAGAGUUUUGUUGAACAGUUGGAUGAUAAUAUCUUACCUUUACUCAUCCAUUUAAUCAUUCAAUUUAUAUAUCGACAACAGAUUCGAUUGAUUUGGCCAGUAAAUCACGGGAAAGAAAAGAGGAAGAAAAGUAAACUCAAAUAUUCAGUGAUGUCUACAAAUAAGGCAAAUUGUGGUGACCAAAAGGACAACAAUGAAGGCUCUGUAAAGGACAAUGUGAAAGAUGUUAAUAACAAUGAAAACAAUGUUAAAAGUGUUCAUUGUAAGGAUAAUUGUUUACCCGUUGUUAAUCAUGCCAUUUCGGGUGGUUCAUCAAAGGAGAAACAAUGUUCAGGUAAACGUUUUAGGUUACCCUUUUUUAAUAAAAAAACUGUCAAACCUGGUAAACCGAUUGAUGAAACCAUCAAUGAGGAAGGUUUGAUCUCGGGAAGGCGAAGGACUUCAUCCGUUGGAGAGAAAGAUAUGGAAACUGUUCGUAAAAAUUCAAAAGCUUUGGCCAUUCGUCGUGGUCCACACGAUAUUGAACCUGAAACUCAAUCAGCUCCAGUCAAUUGAAAGAUUUACAUCAACAUAUGGUCAAGUGUUUUGCUACUAUUCAACAUUUUCAAUAUAAAUGUCAACUCGUUUCCUUCAAAAUUAUUAUUAACUUCACUGAAUGUUGUCCAUAUUAUAUUAUUUAAUUUGAUUGUUUAAUGGUUGAUUUUAAUCAUCACCAUCAUCAGUACCAUCGUCCGUCAACGAAAUUCAAUCAAAAAAAGUAUAAUUAGUGCCCAACAAUAGAUGUGGCAAUUUAUUUCAAUUAUUUUGUCUUCCAUGUUAAACCUAAAUGUUUAACCUUGUUUUUUUUCGUUGUGACCAAAUUUUGUGCUCAACUUGUUAAAUUAUAAUUUAUUGAUUGUAAUUACAAAUGUUUCUCCAUCAAUAUAUAAUUAUAAAUCUAUAUGUAAACAAUUUAUGACUAAUUAACCUACAAAAUACAAUAAAAGAGCAAAGUCA